rnacentral:rRNA from 1 species
UACAGAGGGGGCAAGCGUUAUUCGGAAUUAUUGGGCGUAAAGGGCGCGUAGGCGGCGAUUCAAGUGACGGGUGAAAUCCCUCGGCUUAACCGAGGAACUGCCUGUCAGACUGGAUUGCUUGAGGCCGGGAGAGGCGAGUGGAAUUCCCAGUGUAGCGGUGAAAUGCGUAGAUAUUAGGAAGAACACCGGUGGCGAAGGCGGCCCACUGGUCCGGUACUGACGCUGAGGUGCGAAAGCGUGGGGAGCAAACAGG